GACGAACGCUGGCGGCGUGCCUAAUACAUGCAAGUUGAGCGCUGAAGGUUGGUACUUGUACCAACUGGAUGAGCAGCGAACGGGUGAGUAACGCGUGGGGAAUCUGCCUUUGAGCGGGGGACAACAUUUGGAAACGAAUGCUAAUACCGCAUAAAAACUUUAAACACAAGUUUUAAGUUUGAAAGAUGCAAUUGCAUCACUCAAAGAUGAUCCCGCGUUGUAUUAGCUAGUUGGUGAGGUAAAGGCUCACCAAGGCGAUGAUACAUAGCCGACCUGAGAGGUUGAUCGGCCACAUUGGGACUGAGACACGGCCCAAACUCCUACGGGAGGCAGCAGUAGGGAAUCUUCGGCAAUGGACGAAAGUCUGACCGAGCAACGCCGCGUGAGUGAAGAAGGUUUUCGGAUCGUAAAACUCUGUUGGUAGAGAAGAACGUUGGUGAGAGUGGAAAGCUCAUCAAGUGACGGUAACUACCCAGAAAGGGACGGCUAACUACGUG
rnacentral:rRNA from 1 species